CUUCCUCAAGUGAUGAGUACUUCCGAGAGGGCGCGCCCUAGGGAGGGACGUGACCUCUUCAAGACUAGUGAGCUCUUUCCUGAGUAUGUUUGUCUCUUCGGGAGGGCGCGCCUUGUUGGAGGAAAGUGCGACUACUCCUCAUGGAGAAGAGGUGUACUCCUCUUAAAGGUAACACCAUAUUACCUGUGAAUUUACACAUGUAGUAGUCUUAGGGAACCAAAUACUGAGGGAGUUUAGUAUUUACCUGAGGGCGCGCCCGGUCAGGGG
rnacentral:lncRNA from 1 species